GCGCCCAUGGCCUAAUGGAUAAAGUGCUUGACUUUUAAUCAAGCAAUUGUGGGUUCGAGUCCCACUGGGCGUA
rnacentral:tRNA from 1 species